rnacentral:rRNA from 1 species
UACAGAGGUCUCAAGCGUUGCUCGGAAUCACUGGGCGUAAAGCGCACGUAGGCGGAUUGCUAAGUCAGGGGUGAAAUCCUGGAGCUCAACUCCAGAACUGCCUUUGAUACUGGCGAUCUCGAGUCCGGGAGAGGUGAGUGGAACUGCGAGUGUAGAGGUGAAAUUUCGUAGAUAUUCGCAAGAACACCAGUGGCGAAGGCGGCUCACUGGCCCGGUACUGACGCUGAGGUGCGAAAGCGUGGGGAGCAAACAGG